AAGCGGGGUAGAGGAAUUGGUCAACUCAUCAGGCUCAUGACCUGAAAACUGCAGGUUCGAAUCCUGCCCCCGCCUA
rnacentral:tRNA from 1 species